rnacentral:ncRNA from 1 species
UGGGACACCCUAGCAGGGCCGCACCCAGAAAAGCGGCCCCGCCCCACCACCGG